AAAGGGAGACCUAAUUCAGGUAGGAGACGAAAAAAAGUAGUCCCUACCAAGAAUCAAUCCCAAAAGGUCGGAGCGAGGCAAAAUUGGCUUUCAAACUAGGUUCUGGGUUCGCAUAAGACCUGAAUCAGGAACAAGGGCUAUUAGCUCAGGUGGUUAGAGCGCACCCCUGAUAAGGGUGAGGUCCCUGGUUCGAGUCCAGGAUGGCCCACCUGCACAGGUGGCAAAAACAAAGAAAAGAAGCUCCGAAUCAGCACCUUAUCUUACUCAUAUAGUAAGAGAGAAUGCUGGCUCUGAGUUCAGAGUCCAGAGGAACCUUGAAAACUGCAUAGAGCUAGGUGAAAAAGCCAAAAAAGAAGACCGCAAG
rnacentral:tRNA from 1 species